rnacentral:rRNA from 1 species
GACGAACGCUGGCGGCGUGCCUAAUACAUGCAAGUAGAACGCUGAAGGCGGAGCUUGCUUCUCUGGAUGAGUUGCGAACGGGUGAGUAACGCGUAGGUAACCUGCCUGGUAGCGGGGGAUAACUAUUGGAACCGAUAGCUAAUACCGCAUAACAGUAGAUAUCGCAUGAUAUCUACUUGAAAGGUGCUAUUGCAUCACUACCAGAUGGACCUGCGUUGUAUUAGCUAGUUGGUGAGGUAACGGCUCACUAAGGCGACGAUACAUAGCCGACCUGACAGGGUGAGCGGCCACACUGAGACUGGGACACGACCCAGACGCCUACGGUAGGCAGCAGUAGGGAAACUUCGGCAAUGGACGGAAGUCUGACCGAGCAACGCCGCGUGAGUGAAGAAGGUUGUCGGAUCGAAAAGCUCUGUUGUAAGAGAAGAACGAGUGUGAGAGUGGAAAGUUCACACUGUGACGGUAUCUUACCAGAAAGGGACGGCUAACAACGUG